CCUACGGGCCGCACCAGUGGGGAAUAUUGGACAAUGGGCGCAAGCCUGAUCCAGCCAUACCGCGUGGGUGAAGAAGGCCUUCGGGUUGUAAAGCCCUUUUGUUGGGAAAGAAAAGCAGUCGGUUAAUACCCGGUUGUUCUGACGGUACCCAAAGAAUAAGCACCGGCUAACUUCGUGCCAGCAGCCGCGGUAAUACGAAGGGUGCAAGCGUUACUCGGAGUUACUGGGCGUAAAGCGUGCGUAGGUGGUUGUUUGAGUCUGUUGUGAAAGCCCUGGGCUCAACCUGGGAAUUGCAGUGGAUACUGGGCGACUAGAGUGUGGUAGAGGGUAGUGGAAUUCCCGGUGUAGCAGUGAAAUGCGUAGAGAUCGGGAGGAACAUCCAUGGCGAAGGCAGCUACCUGGACCAACACUGACACUGAGGCACGAAAGCGUGGGGAGCAAACAGGAUUAGAUACCCGCGUAGUC
rnacentral:rRNA from 1 species